AGUCUUGUUCAGAAUCGAAAGCUGACAGAGAUUCAGGGCUCGCUGUCAGAGAUCCUGGGCUCGCUGUGACAUCCAGGGCCUGCUCUGCCCCCCUGGAAUGUCUCCCUGUACCCCGGGAGCCGCUGAUGGAGAGGGAAAAGAGCAGCGAGAGCGCUGCCGGCCCUCCCCAGUCCUGAAAAGCUUUCCAAGCCUCUUCCCGAGGGGUUGGUGGACCUGGCCACCGGCGAGGUGCUCAAAAAGCUACUGGAUGUGGCACUUCAUGCUACAACUGGUCUGGGUGACAAGGCCUUGCCCGGGGUCCCACUGCUCUAUUCCCGCACUGGCGCCUUCAUUUUACACCUCAGAGUUUGCAACUAAGGGUCAGG